UUGUCCUUUCCCCUUGCCUACAUCUCUGUCAGCUUUGUGGAUGCUAAGUAGAAGGCCCGAAGAAUUUCAAAAAGUGAGGCACUGAAUGUAGUGUGCCAAACUGAGUACUUAACUGGAUGUCCAAUUUUAGCCUGCAAAGUGAUCCCAGCCAACACCAGAAUUCGUGGAAGGUUCUCAGAGUGGAUCGGCACCCAACUCCAUACAGCAAGAGCCCGUCAUCACGGGCUGUCUUUGCACAAGUUCUCUACAGUCAUCUGCAAAUGAGUAUGAAAACUUUCCAGGGAUUUUAAUUUAGUAGCUAAGUUUCUUACUCAGAGCCAAAAAGCACC
rnacentral:lncRNA from 1 species